rnacentral:lncRNA from 1 species
UUCUCGUCCGCCAUUGUUAUCACUUGCUGCCGGUACCCUGUGUUCGGAUUUCGACUAGCUUUAUUGUUUUUAUUGUAUCACCUCAAUAUUCAGCAAUUGAGUCAAUAUGCUGUCAAGGAUAAAAUUGAAACCGGUUCGCUCAGCCAUUCAGCCUAUUCGGAUGACACAGACCUCGCGGCCACCUCAAAGCGGCAGCUGCUGCUACAACAAAAUGCACAGAAAGAGAUGUGGUAAACUUUCCAAGACCAGUCCGUCAAGUGUAUCCUGGCAAAGUACACAUGGGCUUCAUCGCUUGUAUUGGUCCCUACACUUUCAGACUGGGUUUGGCUACCUAUUUGUGCAGCAAGACAAUCUACAUCAUGGAACGUGAAUUCUACGCUGGUCUAUCCAUUGCCAUCUUGGGUGUGUAUGCUGUGAAGAAACUUUGGUCAGCCAAAUUCCUUGACGCUGAAGUUGCUAAAUCCGACGCUGAAAUGAACGCUGGACAAGAUAUGGCCAUUGAAGAAGCCAAAGGCUAGAAUCGCGACAGGGAAGAUUGAACAGGAUCGAGCUCUUGCCAUGAAGAUGCUUUUUGACGCCGUUAAGAGGGAAAACGUGGCCCUUCAGCUUGAAGCUGCUUACCGCGAACAGCUCCGAAACCCCCGAAACCGUUUCUCUGCUGGGCAACCGGCAGCGAUAACGGAAAACUGCGGAGAAAGCGACUGCUGUGGUGGAAAUCAAGUUAUUUGCCAGCGCUAUACAAGUCCGUCGCUAUCUUAGUCGUUCACUCACAUCCAGUUAGAAACUAAAACAGACACCACAACCAGCACCGCACCGAGCAACAUGAAUUUACUCAACAAGAGAAAUAGCGCAGUGGCUGUAGCUUGCCUGGUUUUAUUUCAGCUAGGCUGCAGUUACUCCAGUCCGGUUCGUUCACCUCGUACGUCUGCUUUGAAAUUACGCAACAUACUGGCCAACAUUCAACGAGUUCCUCGCAGCGAUCAAAAUUAUCACCUUAAUCCUAAUGAUGAGAAUGGAGCUGAUGUUGCAGUGACUCCUGGCCAAUCCUUCCUACCGACGACUGCUGAGGCCGUUCCCUUAGAUGAACCGGAAGCAAUUGAUAACACUGGCCCAAUCAGAAAUUAUCCUGACUCACCUGACGAGACCGAGCUUCCAGCACUGCCAACAGAUGUUAGCAGCGGAUUAUGCAAUUCAGAUUCAGUUGAAACAGUGACGUCAUCUAAUUUUCAAGAGCCAAUUCAAGAACCAAUUCAGAAGCUGGAGGAUCCUUCCUAUUCCAAGUUUCUUCCAGAAUAAGAGCUUCUGACUACAUCUGAACUCUAUCAUUCACCAACUGCGGAAGCACAUUCUAAUCCAGCGGAACUUCCGCUAACGUAUCCAAUUGUACCUGUCCCGGAGGGUCCAUCAGCCAUAGGCCUACCCAUCACCGUUGCCGAUUUGCCUCUGGAGACCAUCUUACCAUCCACGGCAGCACUCCCAGAGAAAGAGGAAAUCAGUUCCCCACCGGAAGCUCCCGAUCAGUCAUCAAUCAUUGCAGAACAAGGGAACAACGUUGGCGCUCUUCCGCUGGAGUUGGAUGGCAAAACACCAACAGCGUCGUCUUCAUUUGGCGUCGAUCCGUCCAAAUAGCAGCCAAACAAUUCGUACGACCUGAUCACUACAGACAGUCCAAAUGAAAAGUGCUGUCACUAGGUGGCUAAAUAUUUCAGUGUGUUUAGGGAUUGAACUAUUCAGCCUGUGUUGGUAGAGGGAUGUACUGGAGGGGGGGUCACCAUAGUUUCGAGACGAGAAAACGCCCAAACGGUACGCGGGUAGUCGGGUACGGAGAAACUUAUUAACAUUCUUUUUGUACCGAGACGCUGGCCGAGAAGGUUCACCAUUGCUGGGUACUUUCUUUCCUGACAUAGUUCUUCAUAAAAAAAGGUUGGUGGAUGUUGUUCUCAACGUGCAGUGCCAAAUCAACAAGAUGCCUCUGUGGUCCCUACCAUGUUGUGAGAUGAAAUCGUGCAGAAGACAGGAAAUCUGAAAUGUCAGAUUCCUUUGUCAGUUUGGUGUUGAAGCUGUUAAUGGUGGUGAUGGCUAGUGUGGCAGUCAUUUUCCGAUUGAGAGAUCCACUGAUAUGGAGCUUCUGCAGACUUGCUGUUCAACAUCAGACUUCAAAAUACCAUUUUGGACUUUUGGUGUCCAUUCUGUGUUGAGCUGUUGUGUGCAAAAUGGUUGGUGUUGCCUGAUGGCUGUCUGGCAUUUUGUUGGUGUGUUCUCUUGCUACUUCUAUAUAUGUUGAGUUUAAUCGUACGCCGUCGUUCCAGAUAUGAUCCAUUGGUGAAGCUGAGAAGUUGCUGUAAUUCAAGACUGAUAAAUUGUUUAGAUUUAGAUAAAUUGAAAAUGCAAAUCUUUUGUCCCUUUUCCCUAAGUAAACAAAAAUGUCCUAUGUUGGCUAGUUGUGUGAAAACCAGGAAUGUCAUGAUGAAAUUGCAAUGAGAUUUAACUUUUUCUCGGAAAAAAAACCACGGAAACAUUAUCAACCUAACUUUUCAUAACAUUUCGCUCUUUAUACAAUAACACGACAUGUUCAAAUAAAUUAUUAAAAUCGAA